UACGGAGGAUCCGAGCGUUAUCCGGAUUUAUUGGGCUUAAAGGGUGCGCAGGCGGGAUGUUAAGUCGGCGGUGAAAUUUUGCAGCUCAACUGUAAAAGUGCCUUCGAUACUGGCUUCCUUGAGUGUGGAUGAAGUAGGCGGAAUUUGUGGUGUAGCGGUGAAAUGCUUAGAUAUCACGAGGAACUCCGAUUGCGCAGGCAGCUUACUAAACCACUACUGACGCUCAUGCACGAAGGCGUGGGGAGUCAAACAGGAUUAGA
rnacentral:rRNA from 1 species